GAUUAGAAUUCAUUUAGCUCUACGCGGGCUCCGGUCAUUUAUUUCUCAGUAGCCUUAACGGAAGACACGAGCAUGACGAAGAAAAGGCGAAGCUGCACCGAGAUGGCAUGGCGUACAUAUUGUGACCUUCCACACAGUGCAAAUAAACUAUGAUCUCAUCACCGGUACUUGAUGGAUACAGACUUUGUCAUGUGCGUGAGCUCAUUUUUAACUCUACUGAAAGUCUGUGCUUGUUUGGGAGAGGUUAUGAAACGGAUUACAAAAACGCACAUACGCAGACUUCUGGCCUGUCCCCUGUUUGAGCAGCUGGCUCAUUCUCUUCGCUACAGAAGGACCGGUACCUGUACUUACAGGGAUUAUGCAAUGGAUAUAAAAUACAAAGAAAUGGUCUCGGCAUGAGUAAUAGCCGUAACCUGCAGGGAGUGACUCAGAUGGAUUUAGUAAAGGAUGAGAUGGGGCAGCAGGGACGUGGCCUCUGGGAGCCUCAUAGGACGUCCCUGGCAUUUUUACAGCGGUUUCAUCAGACAGAAUCUCGUUUUACCCUCCACGCACACACGCACGGCCUAAUUUAUCAAUCUUUUAGUAAGGUUGUAUGUAAGUGUUUUCAUAGGACAAACCAAAAAAAAUACUGCCAGAUUUAUAACCCUGUCAGGAUCGCUCAUCCUUCCAUAAGAUGACAGAAAACGACAAAAUGACAACAACCGUGAAAGAGCGCCUCCGAAGCACGUGUUCCAAGACUUCUACACGCAGAUCCAUUCUUGAAGUCUUCCAGAAAUGCAGCGAUUCCAGCGUCGGUUACUAGUCACCAUUUCUUUUGUCCAAACUGAACACCCAGACUCAUUUCUUAAUUUAUUCAUUCCUUUUAGAUUACUUUCUUUCGAGUCAUUAAAAACGAAACGGCGUUAAAUUCCUAAAUGUGUAGUCUAUGAAUAUACCUAUAUGAUUUGAUGCUUAACAUUUAAUGUCUCAUUAUACACAAAUUUACACAAACUUAGCUCUCGUAUGACGUUAACUUUUUUCCCCUUAACGAGCUGUAUUUUCAUCACAUUUUUAUAUACCCUUGCGAACGAUUUACAAAUAAAUCUGUUCGUAUCCAGCUUGAUAAAUGAGGCUGCUGCCCAAUUAGUCAGUUCAUGCAAACAGCCAGCUCCCAGACUCCACGAGAGCGCCACUGAAAAGCAAUACAUCCAGCCCAAUAAAUCUACUCUUAAAACUUUUGUGUCACACUUUCCAAACAUUAAUGCAGCUCACCAGUGAAACUGAGACUCUGACAAAGGCGGCGGCACAAAGCGGAGUUUUACUGCAUAGCUUAAUACAGACACUGACUGUGUUUACAUGGACAACAAUAAUCUAAUCAUCGACCUUAUUCGGAAUAAGACAAUAUCCUGAUUAAGGUGUUUACAUGAGUCGCUUUGAGAAGAUUCCUUUCAUGUUCCCGUUUUACGUUAUAGAACACAGUUCGAUUAACGGCACACGUCGUUACGUCCCCGCGCCACGCCGUCCGACGUUCCCUCCGGAAUUUCACGUAUCGACAUACAGUUGGUCUUCGUUACGGGACCGUAUACAGUUUUGGUCGUUUCAUUUUUAAUUUUACGGACGCUUCAAGUGCGGUUAAUUAUCUGUCGUGCUGUACGUGCAAACAGACGACCGCUUGAAGCCGUGGGCUGCGUCCCAAACCACGUACGUACCUACUAUAUAGUAUCCAAAAUACAGGUAUCUCACCUACUAUAUAGUAGUUAAGUACGCGGUUUGGGACGCAGCCGUGCUCUCUCGUUCGCCGUCAAACGGUCGAGCGCCGCCGUGUGUGUACGUGUCCUGUCGCAAACUGCGGUGAAAACUCCCACACGACGCUGAUAGCGUGAUUAAGGUUUGUACGUGUCUGUAACGCACGUCGAUAAUGCGACUAAAGCAGGAAAACUCCACGUCUUAAUUCCAUCUGUUUACACGUCGAGUAUGACUUUAAUCGGAUUAAGGUCAUUAAUAAAUCACUGUAUACAUGCUAGUUUCUUAAUCAGAGUAUCGCCUUGAUAUCGGAUUAUUGUCGUCCAUGUAAACGUACCGAUUGUUAAUAUCACCGCCAAGCCACCUGCUCAAAUUAAUCUGCAAUUCAUCCAGUCAAAGUGUGUAAUAACGUACUACAGAACUCAACCCCAGUGAUUGAUGAAAAAAAAAUCCCAUUAAAUAAUUCUCAUAAAAACUUACCAAAGAUGAAAGCAAAAAGGCAGAAUUACAUGCGUUAGAAUUCUAAAAAAAUAUCAUAUAGAUUUAAUACAUGGACAAGCUGUGACAUGCUUCCACAGACUACACAUUUGCAGUGUUACCCAGCAGCACUCCUUCCACCCAAUAAAGCACUGAAAUAAAAGUGAAAAUCACAGAGAGCCUCUUUAUCGGCAUUCUUCCAGCGCACAUUGUAUUAUGUUAUAUUGUUCUCUUCCUUAGCUUCGCAACACAUCCAAGAGCUCACUGCUUUUCCUUUGUAUGUCUCAUGUUUUAACCUGCUAAAUAUUACAACGGUGAUAUUUGGAGCAGAGAGAUACAGGAAGGAAAUCUAUCGCCUUUAAAACUGCUAAAAGAACGUGGUUAGUUACGGUUACUUUUAUAUAGCGCUUUUCAAAGUGAGGGGGGGGUCUCCUCAACCACCACUAGUGUGUAGCCUCCACCUGGAUGAUGCGAGGGCAGCCAUAGUGCACCAGAACGCCCAGAACAAACCAGCUAUUAAUGGAGAGGAGAUUUAUGUAGCCAGUUCAGGGAUGGAGGUUAUCAGUGGGGCAUGAUAGAGAAGGGUGAAUGGGGGAAUUUCGCCAGAACACCAGGGUUAUACCCCUACUGAUAAGUGUCCUGGGAUUUUGAAAGACCACAGAGAGUCAGGACCUCGGUUUAACGUCUCAGACCGUGCUGUUUUUACAGUAUAGCGUCCCCGACACUAGACUAAUGCCACUAUACUAUAUGCAUUAGACCCCACACAGACCACAGGAUGAGCGCCCCUGCUGGCCUCACUAAUACCACUUCCAGCAGCAACCUUGGUUUUCCCCAGGAGGUCUCCCAUCCAGGUACUGUCCAGGCUCAACCCUGCUUAGCUUCAGUGGGACACCAGGCAAGAACUUCAGGGAAGUAGGUCUCUUCCGUGGGUUUAUUAUUUCUGUGCAUCCUACCAUAUAUUAACUGUAUUUACCACUGGUGCUGAAAAUUCAAUAGUCCCUCAGGACGGAACGUAAUAAUAUUAGUGCUGCAAGCUCUCGCUGAAGUAAUUGUCAGAUAUUUACUCCACGCUGAGAAUAGGAAGCAAAUUUAAUUUGACGUUUGCUGCAAAAACGACGCUCAAGAGAAUAAUACACGCGAGUUAGACGCGACCUUCAACUCCGAGCUCCACCUUUAACAAACCAGCCGAUAAUCAAAGUGGCUUUUUCGUGUGCCCUUCAGCUAAAGUCCUCAUCAGUUACCCAAAGCUGACCGAGCACUAUUAUCCCCUUCAGACGGUCGAAACUGAUUAACUGAUGUGUACAGCAUAUACACACACAAUGUUCCGGCCCAUAUACACUGUUAAUGAGCUCUCUCUGAUACUGUUUGAUAGGCUCAAGGCUACAAGGUCAAGCCGGGUUCCAUAGAACAACUAGGAGUGGACAUGAGCCAUAUGCGUGAGUGCAUGCAGGAUGCUCCAAAACAACCACAUAAAUACAACAGUAAUUUUU
ensembl:lncRNA